rnacentral:rRNA from 1 species
UACGUAGGGUGCGAGCGUUGCCCGGAUUUAUUGGGCGUAAAGGGCGCGUAGGCGGCUACGCACGUCCGUUGUGAAAUCGCUCGGCUCAACUGGGCGGGGUCAGCGGAUACGGCGUAGCUGGAGCAAGCUAGGGGGCAAUGGAAUUCCCGGUGUAGUGGUGGAAUGCGUAGAUAUCGGGAGGAGCACCAGUGGCGAAGGCGGCUCUCUGGACCGGUUCUGACGCUCAGGCGCGAAAGCGUGGGGAGCGAUCCGG